CCCACGUCAUGGCCACAACCAACACUACACCUGACUGAAUGAACAUUUCCCUCUACAGACAUGCAUUUCCUCAUUUCCUGCUUCAUUAUGAGCAUGCCCCAGCAUCUGCUUAGUGGAGGAUGAUCUUAGAAGAGGUAUUAGGAGGCCACUUGUGCGAUGGGAUCUUUGUCCUGCCUGGAUGAGUCACCAAAACCUCGAGGACAGCUCGAAUGGACUGUGGAAAAGCUGAGUGAGGGUGUGGUCCCUGCUGCAGGGAGAGCAAGACAGAGAGAACAGAUAGGUUCAAGGAUACAAUUCCCACAGUGUGAAGAGUUACAGGGUGAUAUCUGAGCCAUGGUUGCUGCAUUUUCCAGUGCCAGAUGUUCCUCACAAAGGCAAGCUACAGGAUCCUGAGGGCAGAGAUGGCGUGAUAGGAGUUUCAGCUGUGAGGCUGGGGGAGCUGUGAUUGCCAACAGGAUGCAAGCUCAUGAUAAAGCACAGCUCCCUGCACUGCGAUAGGUGUUGGCUGCAUUUGAUCCUGAACCAUGCAAAACAAGAGGAACAUUGCAUUCCUCUGCCUCCCAUUCAUGUGUUUCACCACAAGGGCUGUUCCCUGGCCAUUCCACGGUGAGUGUGAAAGAUUAACAUCUACGAUAGCUGAGCCAAAUCCUGGCUGCAGGUAAUUAUGCAGAAGGUAUCUCAUCUUCCCCUGGGGUCACUCUUCUACCAAGUGUUUUUACUCAAGCUGCCAGUUUUUGGGGGAGAUAAACUCGCUUGAACAAGUCUCCUGAGUUGCAGAGCUGUUAGUAUUGGACAGAGCUGGGUGCUCAUUUCCUCUUCUACCUGUUCUCUUCUGUGCUCUUGCCAAUGAAGAGAAAUGCUUUGUGCUUCUUAAACUGCAGUGAGGAUGUUCCCAUUCCCCACAACAUGGAAGCACCAGGGCAGAAAGGCACUCAGCUUUUAAA
rnacentral:lncRNA from 1 species